ACACUCGAGUGUAGACAUACCGAAACCAUGUUUGGCGAGCUCUGACACAUCAUUCGCAUUAGAACAAUUUGUGAGCUAACUGGUACAUUCUGUUAGGGUUGAGAGUAGGUAGCCGAUCGGCUACGGCCGGAAGUUGUUUCACCUAACCUACAAAAUAACAAAAAGAUUAAUUCGUUGGAUUCGUAAUUGUUUUUAAAUACUGAAGUGAAGUGAAACGAAGAAACCAGUGUGAUUUACGCUACCUCGAAUACAAAACUUUCAAAUAGAAUGUCGAUGCAAGUCAUUGUAUUAAUACAAAAUGGCUGCGACUGAUUCCGAGACAACCAAACACAGCAAGCUCUACACGUUCCGGGAAUAUUUACUAAAUUAUGUAAUCAGUUCAAGUUAACAGUUGAAGUUUGCACACAAAUGUAGGAGAAAAAAAACAAACGAUUUUCCGUUCAGUAGUUAGCAUAAAAAUACAACCAAACGGUAAGCCAUAAGGAAAAGUUCGUCUUUGAUGUUGAAAGCAAAAAGACACAAGAUUACAGAAAAUUUGAAACAAUUUACUAUAGGCAACUGGCAGAAAAACUGAAAGGAAGAUGAAUGGCAGCAAGAGAAGUCACAAAAAGUCACAAUCUCAAAAUCACAUCUACCAUCAAGACAUAUGUUUUGAGCACACCAAUAAAUUGCACACUUAGUUAAUCUCGGCAAACUUCCCAACAGCUGAUCGAGGCCGGCAAAUUUUUUUAACAAAUGUCAGCAUUAUAUUUUGACAAACAUUCAACAAAUAUAUCGAUCUACCGUAAACCAGACAUCGAAAUUUCGUUUACCGAAGUUCUUGAAAAUUCUGCCGAAAAUUUGAAGAACAUUUCACUAAAAUUAUCAGCUGUUGAGUUAUCGGCAGUAAAAUCUAAGUGUGUGAUGGAGGACUGAUAGUACGGAGGGAAAUCAGUGACUGUUUUACUGACAAAAAAACGAGAAGGAUACAGUGGAUGAUUGAUUAUGGCAUCACUCGCUCAGAAAAUCUUCGAUCCAUUUUCACACAUGGAGGGCAGAGCAUCGCGUUCAAUGGCGCCAAUUGCAAGUAAUGUUAUAAGAAAAUUAUUUCGGAUACACGUCUUAGGGUUUUUGAGUUAAGGUUCAGAAUAUACUUAUUUAGGUAUUUUGUUGCAAUGUUAGUAAGUUAAAAUCAGAAGAUUCUUCGAUUGAUAGUUAUUUGUUUUAGAGAAGCUGGUUAUUUCUAAUGAUCAUGGUCUAGUAGUUUGUAAUGUUCACCUAAAUUGACGGAGGAUACCAUAAAAUUGUUAUCGUUCUAAAUCAUACAGAACUGCAACAAAGUUUGCACCUUAGAUUAUGGUAAUUCAGGAGGUGCUUACCGUAGGA